rfam:Picea glauca, whole genome shotgun sequence.
ACAUGCCUACAACAUAGUUUUAACGCAUCAAAUCCCAUUAGAAAUCCGUAUUUAAGCACGCUUGGGAUAAAGUAGUACUGGGAUGGGUGACUGCCCGGGAAGUCUUAGUGUUUUACAUGCC